AUGACAUUUACCUUUGGCAGAUAUCAAAUGGCAAGGUUUUACUUUUCCAACCUCGAAUUGGAUAACCCGUUAUUUAUAAUCGGAACAGCCGGUAUGGAUAACAGCACGUGCACUUUAUUUCAUUUAAACGACAUUUUGGAGUCGUUUUAUGUUGACAGCUCAGCGAGCAAUAUUUAUGGCGAGGUGAGUUAAAACCGACUGCUGAAUUUCAAUGAAGAUUUAGGGCACAACGAUCAAUUAAAACUUUUGAAGUCAAUAUAAUUCUGCCUAAGAA